CUUCGGAUUCCAUGUUUGUUUGUAAUUUAUUGUGGUUUUGUGCUGCGAUUUAGAUUGGCGAUUAGGUUUUGCGUUCCCUCUUAACCUACAUUUUGUGUUUACGAUCGGAUUACUAUCUCUGUGUGGUGCGAUUUCGCUUAACCUUCCCAAUUAAGUAUGGCGGCGAGGAUUGAUGAUCCAGCGGAGGGUUUCCGUUUCAACCUACUCUUGAAGUUUCUGAUUUGUGUCUAUCGUUUGUGGUGAUUCUUCUACGAUUUGGAUUAUUUAGUUAUUUUCAAUUUGAAGAUCUAAGGCUGUUAUGGUUACUUGACGGUCUGUUUAUAUUAUGACCCCUUCUCGGGGCUCACUUUCGUUUGUUAAUGUAGUGCAAUCGAUCUGGUAGCUCGUGAUCAUUCGGGCGAGAAUGUUAAUUUUGCCUCUUUGUCUAUGUGAAAUUCUUUCAAGUUCAUUCUCCAAGUUUGAUAGUUAUCGACAGUUGAUGGAAGUGCUCAUGGUUUGAUUAAUUUCCUCAUUGUUUUUCUCUUCUCUGAUGUUCGCUGGUGAGCAGCCUCAAGAUCACACAUUAAUGACGAUGAAUUUCUUAUGCACAAAUCUCUGACUUGGUGUAGGACGUUUUUUCCCAGUGUCUCCAUAAAUAAAUCGGAAUAGAUUGUUUGGUAUAUGGACACGGAAUCAUCUCUGGCAAUGACAGUGUCUAUGGAGGGUUACCGAUAUACUCUCCAACUCCAUUGUUUUAGCAUUGGCUGGCUCUUAAUCAACCUUCCAUGGAAGCCAGUUCUGGUUUGGUGCUUGAUUAUUUUUUCUCCGUGUCACGACUCAUCAGUUUCUUUUUUUACAUGGGAUGAUGGGAUACUGUGUUUGGCCUCGAUAUAUUACAGGAGAUGCAAAAUAAUUUUUGUUCUGCGCUAAAGGUGGGCUAUCUUGGUCUGGCUGUUGGACAUGGACCAAUAUUUGGUGCUGGUGUUGAUCGAGUUUAUGAAGGGUGGCAGAUGGAUUAUAAUAUUUUUCUAUGUACCGUCGUUUAUCUUCUACCUUGAUGAUUCCUUUGCUUAUUGCUAUGCUCUUCAAUUUCCUGAUGUCACAUAUUUAGGUUAUUCAGUUUUCAAGAGAAGGCAGCUCUGGGCUUUCACAGUGUGACAAAGGGAGUAUAGUAUUUUUUUUACUACCUCAUAUCUUCUACCUAGACUUUCCCGUCCUUAUUGUAUUCUCUUUGAUUAUCAGUCUCUGACAAUUGGGUGGGUUCUUCUGGCUUCACUGGAAGGCAGUUCUAUUUGAUGUUUGGUUAACUGUUCUCUUUUAGCUGUUUAUUGUUUGAUGCUUGGUCAAUUUUUCUGGUUUGAUGCUUGGUUAACUUUUUUAUGUUUGAUAUGUUUGUUUAUUUCCCUAUAUGUGAAUAUUGAUUUCAGCCUUUGUUUCUGGUUGUUGGACGUGGACCAAUCUCUGGCUGUGAUCUCCCUUAUCUUACUAUUAUGCUCUUCAGUUUCCAGAUGCCUCAUAUUUGGGUUGCUCUACCAGUUUCCAGAGGAAGGCAGUUUUUUGUUUUUACUGAGGGAGUACAGAUAGUAUUCCUUUCUAAUAAAUUUUAUCUUCUACCUCGACUUCCUGCUGCCUAGACUUACCCCGUGUUUAUCGUUGUACUAUUCACUUUCCAGUGUCCAAGUGUUCGGUAGUCUUAAUCAACCUUCAUCAAAACGCAGUUUUCAACAGAAGGCAGUUCUUGCUGGUGCUUGAGUAUCUUUAGUUUUUUCUCUGCUUUCUAUGUUUUUUUGUUUUUCACAUAGAUGUGUAUAGUGUUCUUGGCCUCACCCAUUGACAUGUGUCAGGAAAAAAAAUGAUUCCACACACAUCACUGAUGCUGGCAUUAGGAGCAACAUUAUUUUUCUAUGAUGUUUAUCUUCUAGCUGACUUCUCCACUGCGAACCGUUAUGCUCUUCAAUUUCCAGAUGCAUGUUACUUGUGUGGUUCUAUCAGUAAUCAGGGGAUGUUGAUUCUCAGGUUUCGUUGUGUGGCAGUGGAAAUAGGUAUAGUAUUGUACUUCUACUGCAUUUUAUCCUCUUCCUACAUAUACCUGUGCUUAUGGUUGUUCUCUUCAGUUUUCGUAAGUAUGAUAUCGUACUUCUUCUGCUGCAUUUUAUCCUCUUCCCACAUAUACCUGUGCUUAUGGUUGUUCUCUUCAGUUUUCAUUGUCUAUUUGGGUGGGUGGUUCUUUAUCAAACCUUCAGUGGAAGCUGGUCUGUAUUUGGUUAUCUUCGCUCUACUUCAAUUGUUCUUCUGUUAUGUGAAUUGUGGAUAUUUUCCUCUUUGAUAGGAGAUACGGAAUAAGUUUUGAUUCUGUUAGACUUGGAGCUUAAGGUGGGGCUACCCACUAUCUUGGCCUGCUAUGGACCAAAAUGAGAUGAUGGCAUUGUAGUAUUUAUGGGGCUUGGCGGAGGGAGUAUCUUAUAUUUUUUGGGUUGUUCGGUCGGUUUUCAAGGGAUGACGUACUGUGUUUUUACAAUGAAGGGAGUAUGUCUGCUACAUUUAUCUUCUACAUAGACCUUUCCAAUGCUUAUUGUUAUAAUAUUGACUUUGCAGUUUCUGUUUGUUGGCUAGUUCUUAAUCAACGUUCACCGAGCGAGUUCCGGUUUGAUGCUGGAUAAUCUUUUCUCUGUUUCAUCAGUAUUUUGUUUGUUACAUGGAUAUUGAUUUUAACUUCUAUGUAGACAUUCCUGGUGCUUACCAUUGUACUCUUCCAUUCCUAGUGUCUUACCAUUGGCUGGUUCUCAAUCAACAUUCUUUGGAAGCCAGUUCUGGUUUGGUGCUUGGUUACUUUUACUCCUCUUCAUCAGUUUUAUAUUGUUACAUGGAUAUUGGGUUUGGCCUCAACAUGUGACAGGAGAUGCAGAAUAAAUUUUGGUUUUGUUGGAGGUGAAGCUGAAGGUGGGCUAUCUUGGUCUGGCUGAUGGACAUGAGCAAUAUUAUAUGCUGGCAUUUACCGAUCUUAUGAAGGAUGGUAGGAGUAUAUAGUAUUUUUAUGCUGUCGUUUAUCUUCGUACUGGGUAUUUCCUUUGCUUCGUGUUAUGCUCUUCAGUUUCCUGAUGUCAGAUAUUUGGGUUGUUCAGUUUCCAAGAGAAGGCAGUCUUGGCUUUUACAUUGUGACAGGGAGUAUAGUAUAGUAUUUUUUCACUACCUGUUAUCUUCCACCUAGACCUUCCUGUUCUUAUUGUUGUUCUCUUUGGUAUCCAGUCUCUGACCAUUAGGUGGUGGAUUCUUCAUCAGGCUUCACUGGAAGACAGUUCUAGUUUGAACUUUGAUGCUUGGUCAACUGUUCUCCUUAAUCUGUUAUUUUGUUUGGUGCUUUGUCAGUUUUUCUGGUUUGACGCAUGGUUAACUUUUCUGUGUUUAACCGGUUUGUUUACUUUAUGUGUAUAUCGAUUUCAGCCUUUGUCGUGAUUCGUUUACGUGGACCUAUCUCUGAUGUUUGCAUUUAUGGUGUUUAUGAGGGUGGCAUGUAUCCUGUCAUUUAUCUUCUUGCUGAGCCUUCUCAUUUCUUACUUAUGCUCUUCAAUUUCCAGAUGUCUCAUCUUUGGGUUGUUCUAUCAGUUUUCAGGGGAAGGCCAUUCUUUGUUCAAACUGUGUGGCAGAGGGAGUAUAGUAUAGGGAGUAUUAUUUUCUACUACUUUUGUUUCGUCUAUAUAGACUUUCCUCAUGUUUAUUGUUACUCUUUAAUUUCCAAUAUCUGAGUGUUGGGUGGUUUGUUAUUAUCCAUCAACAGAAGGCAGUUUUUGUCAGAAGGCAGUUCUUGCUUGAUGCUUUACUCUGUUUUGUAAGUUUUUUGUUUGCUACAUAGAUUUGUAUAAUAAAUUAAUAAUGUUUUUGUCCUCACCCAGUGACGUGAUAGGACCAAAUAAUUGCUUCCAUCAUAGUAGGAGCUUAAUCGGGACUGUAUUUUUCUGCUGGCUAGGAUAGUGCUUAUGGAGAGGGUAGCAGAGAGAGUACAGUAUUUUUCUGUCAUUUAUCUUCUAGCUGGAAUUUUCCUUUACCUACUGUAAUGCUCUUUAAGGGAAGGCAGCUCAGGGCUUUUACAGUGCGACAGAGGGAGUUUAAUGCACCAUUUGCUUAUUACUACAUUUUAUCUUCUACCUAGACGUUCCGAUGCUUAUUGUUACACACUUCAAUUUUCAGUGUCUUGUGAGGGCGAUUUCCAACCAGACUUCCACGGAAGGAUGUUCUGCUUGGAACUCUUCCGUUAGUUUUUGUUUCUUAUUGAUCUGGAUAUUGUUUUUGCCCUCACCCAUGUGACAGGAGUUCUAUCUAAGUUGGAGCGUAAGAUGAGGCUACUUGGGCUGGUUGUUGGACUUGGACCAAUCUCUGAUGGAGUAUAGUAUUUUACACCAAUCUCUGAUGGAGUAUAGUAUUUUACACCAAUCUCUGAUUAAGUAUAGUAUUUUUCUAUGGUCAAUUAUCUUCUAGCAGGACUUACCCCUUGCUUAUUGCAAUUCUCUUCAGUAUGCAGUUCUAUGAUCUAUUGGUGGUUCUUUCAGUUUAGGGUUUCACAACGUGGUUUUAUUAUGUUAGAAUUUCAUUUAUCUUAAACUUUUCUCAGUGCUUAUCAUUAUAACCUUCAAUUCCCAGUGUCUGAUCUCCAUUGUGUGGUUCAUUAUCAACCUUCACUGAAAGGCUGUUCUUGUUUAAUGCUCAGUUAUGUUUGUUAUGAUUAUUUUUUUAAUUUUGUGUGUGGAUGGGGGAUAUUGUUUUCAGCUUGGAGAUGCAAGAUAAGCUUUGAUUCUUUUCAAGUAUUGUAUAGGUUUGUUCUCUACUAUAUUUCAUCUCCUAUGUAGACUUUCCCCAUGCUUACCGUUAUACUCUUCAAUUCCCAGUCUCUGGUCAUCGGAUGUGGAUGUUGUUUUCAGCCUCACCCUGUGACAGGAGAUACCAAAUAAGUUAUGUAUCUAUCAGAGUAGGAGCUGAAUGAAGGGCUAUCUUCGUCUGCUUGUUGGGCACGGGCCAAUAUUCAGUUCACGGAGGGUGGUAGAGGGAGUAUAGUGCUUUUGUAUUAUCAUUCAUCUUCUAGCUCGAUUUUCCCCUUUCUAAUUGCUGUGCUGUUCAUAUCUCCAGAUGCCUUAUUCUUACUUCGUUCAAUAUGUUCUCAAGGAAAGGCGGAUUGGUGUUCUACAAUGUGAUAGAGGGAGUGCAUUACAAUAUUUUUCUGUGCUUAUGGUUUUACAGUCAUUUCUACAGUCAUUUAUCUUCUACCUGGACUCAUCUUUUGCUUGUUAAUAUGUUGUUUGAUUUCCAGAUGUCUGAUCUCCGCAUGGUUCUAUAGGAAAGUCGGUUCUGGUUUGUUCUGUUUGAUAGAGAGAGUAUGGUAUCUUUUACGUAGAUGUUCAUGUGCUUAUCAUUAUACUCUUCAAAUUCGAGUGUCUUAUUGUUCGCUGGUUCUUGAUCAUCCUUCAGUGGAAGCCAGUUCUGGUUUGAUGCUUGGUUAUUUAUACUCAAUUUCAUCAGUUGUUUUUUAGGUUUAAUUGGAUAUUGUGUUAGGCCUCAACCUGUGACAGGAUUUACAAAACAAAUUUUGGUUCUGUUAAAGGUGAGAGCUUAAGAUGGGGCUCUCUUGGUCUGGCUGUUGGGCACGAAUCAAUCUUUGAUGCUGGAGUUGACAGUGUGGGGGCAGAGGGAGUAUAGUACUUUUCUACGUUGUCAUCUUCUUACUUGACAUUCUCUUUGCUUUGUUUUGCACUUCCAAUUUCCAGAUGCCAAAUAUUUGGGUUCUUCAGUUUUCACGAGAAGGUAGUUCUGGGCUUUUACCGUGGCAGGAGUAUAGUAUUAUAUCUUACAUUCCAUGUGCUUAUCAUUAAACUCUUCAAUUUUUGGGUCUGAGCAAUGGCUGGUUCUUAAUCAACCUUCAGUAGGUAGCCAAUUCUGGUCUGAUAUUGGUUAUCUUUAUUCUGUUUCAUCAGUUCCUUUUGUUACAUGGAUAUGUUUGCCCCAGCCCUACAACAGUAGAUACGAUCACACAAAAUAAAUUUGAUUAUGUUAAACAUGGAGAGAUUGAGGCGGUUCCAUCUUUGUCUGGUUGUUGGACAGGGACCAAUCUUUGAGACCGGCUCACUUAUUUCACUUGGGAGCUUGGGGUGAGAUAUCUCACUUAUUUACAUCAACAAUUCAAGCUUCCUUGUUGUAACAUGAUCCUUUUUCUUUGGCUUAUGUGUUCAAAGCUCUCACAAGAAACUAUUUCACUAACUAGCAUGGUCACAUUAAUUGUUAAUUUUCCUUAUAUAGGCCAAGGGACAUAUUGUAUUCGAACAAAUUUUCGUUUCCUAUUUGAUAUGGUAGAUGACUGCAGUUAUUUCAUAUAAGAAAAGUGCAGUCUUGCAUGAAGGAUGUAGAUAUGGAGUUGGAAUUGUAUAUGAAUCAUGGUUAUAGAUGAAAUGCACUAGUUGGUCUUCUGAGUCUA